GUGGAAGGGUGGGGAAAUAGAGGAAAUGGAAGAGAAGAAAGAGAGUGAUUUUCUUCAUCCUGUCCUGGAUCUGGAUCCCUUUUAAUAGGAUCUCUCCUGGACAGUUCUGAGCACUUCGAAGUGCAUCCAAUUCAGGUCACAGUAGGUGGGCAAAGGACUUCAGACCCUGGAGACACAAAGGUAUUCUCCACUGGUUGAAUGCAAAUGGAAGCCAGAGGAAAAGGGAACCCUUGACACAGUUUUCAUAUAGAUUGGCCUCCAGGGCAGACAGCAG
ensembl:lncRNA DLEU1 deleted in lymphocytic leukemia 1